GAACAACCCAGCUGGGCAUUGCUGUUGGCGAUUGGUGCAGGAAGGCUGAAGCUCAUUUCCUUCAGCUGUGUGGCAUCAGAAACAGAGGCAAGCAGCUGAAGCUCACACACCUUUGAUAAUUAAAUACUAAGUAACGACCAGCUGCAGAGAGCAACUAAUCUCUGCUUGGAAGCACAGCCUGGAGGGAUGCAAGAGGCUUUGGAGCAGCUUAUUUCUCUGCACAAGGGAGAAUGAAAGAAUCUGACUGAUGGGCACAGACUUGGGUGACCAAAGUGGCUGCCAGAGCAGCUUCCAGCCUGAAUGCCAACCACACCAAGAACAUUUGUACUAAAACUGAAGCAGCGAUUUCGAGCCCAGGAUUUCUGCCUUUCUCCCCACCCCUCGCAGCAGCUCAGGCCGGGUGAUGGAGCAGCUGGGUCAGGGAGCACAGGGAUACUGCAGUGCAGCUCUCUCACAGCAGUUACUGAGGACAGCAUUUAGAAACAAAAGCAGAGGGAGGACUCUGCUGUAAAAUCACAACCCAGAUCCCCACCCAGCACACAAGAGGAGAGAUGCUGAAGUUAGACAUGGAGGCAGAAUACAAAGACAAGCCCUCACUGCGGAGUCAGCUGGCCCUGCAGGUCAGGCGUUGCCAGCCCUCCUCACAAAGCGAUUUUCUGCAGUGCGUUUGCGUGUGUGCCGUGCAGCAGCACCGUGCAGCGAUGCAGCGCGGAGCCGCGUGUGCUCCUGUCGCCCGGCUGCUUUGCUGCUCGGCUGCGUGCAUCGCAGCAGGGCUCAGCGGGAAGGGCUCCGGCAAGCUAUAUUUAGCAGCAACAACAAAACAGGCAGCCGGAUCAGCUGACUGGGCGCAGAGAGCACGGGUUAGUUGUAGGCAGCACGUAUCCUGCGCGGAAAGCAGGGCGAGAGAGAGAGGGAGAGAGAGCAGGGCACGGAGCUGGGAGGUACCCCAUCACCCGCAGGGGCUGCGGCUCAGUGGGGGUAGUCUGAGGGAAGGCCAGCCCAAAAAGAGUAGAGGACUGCUAUAUGCAUAAAAAGGACGUGAAGCAACAUCAGCUGUCAGCCAUGGCUCCCCGGAUAAGAUUGAGUGUUUCAAAGCCUCUCCCAACCAUCUGCGAAACCCACGAGGAAGCAAUGGAAGACCUAACCAGCAACCCAAAGCACACUGCAAACACUUCAACCAACCCAGACUUGUACUCUAGCGAUGACUACAUUCAAUCUAUCUGCCACCUUGCCAGGCCCACCUUCCCAGGCAUUCCGGAAAGCAGCCAUAGGGUUCGGAACAGAAGAAUCCUGCAGACCCUGGAAGCCAUGUCAUGGUCCCCAUCCCAGAAAGAAAUGUCAGCAUGUAAAUUGACCAAUUUCAUCUCAAAUGUGAUGCCACUGGGAAAAGCUACAUCUGCUCCUGAUGAUGCAGAAGCCGACUUCUGGUCCAGAGAGGACCCCCUGGCACAGAUCUACAGGCGCACAGGAAACCUCUGCUCCUCCAAGGGUUUGUGGAGCAAAAACUCCAGCACUGACUCCUCACAGUGCAUCUCCUCCAGCCACCUGGACUCCCUUCAUCCCCCAGCCAUGAAAGAAGAAGCCCCAGGAAAACCACAUUUCCCACGGAUGUUCAGUUUUCCAAGGUUUCCCUCUCCAAGGCCAAUGCAGAAAGAAACGCUCUGCUCAGAGCUGAGGUGUCUCAGAAGGGAUGAGGGAGCGGUUGUAGGGAGCAAUCACAGUCAAAAGGAAGAUGCUCCCAGGUUUAUUAACACUGAAGAGCUAUUGCUGUGCUCAGGCAGAGGGAAGCUACUAGGAAAUCGGCUCUUGCGCUGCUCUGUAAGGAGGCAGAGUUUGUUUGAGGCAGUGGGUGCUGAUGAAAAAGAAGGGAGAGAAACUUCUCACUGUGACAAAAACGCAGUGGGUGAUGUUCCCAGUAAACAGAGAUACUCUGAGUGCUUCCAGGCAGCUAAAAAAGCUGUGAUCCAUAAUUGGAUUUCAGAGCAUAGAUGCAUGUGGAAAGAAGCAAAGAUAAAGGCUUGUUUGCUCCCAGCCAUUGCUGAAGUGUGAAAAAGUAUCUGUUCCAAAUAAUGUUGUUUGCAAGAAAUAAACACCCUGUGCUCUAGAAGCUCUCCCUGGAGUCCUUAUGUGGAAAACAUGGCUUGAAUGUGCAUGCAAGUCAGAAAACCUUUUGUGAUCCAUCUUACCCCUCAUCAGUGGGCAAAUGGACAACUUGGAGUCCAGUCCUCUGAGAAAGCAGCAAUUAAUUCUCAUUUUGGAAAGACAACGGUUCAUAAAGCAUUGCCCCACACCUAUUGCCUUGAACUGCCCUGAGCAUGGAGGAAAUUGAAGAGCCAUCUGUCUUGAAGAAGUAAUCUGAAGGAAAAAGAAACAACAACCCACACACCUACUGCCAUUUCACAGCAGAUGCCAAGCAGCCAGAUGUUUCACACGCUUGGGUACAGUUAUUCUGAAAGGAACAUUCUGAAUGGUGCUUGGACAGUACUAAAUAUGCCCUCACUGACAUAUGCAUUCACUGAGACACACAGCAUAGAUCACUGCAUCAACACCAGAAUACCACUGGGUCAGUCAUCUGGUAGUGCUUUCACGUAAAGGAAUACUUUUAAUAGCUGUAAGAAGCCUGUGAUGAGGAUGUGUUAGAGGACAACAUGAAAAAUACUGAAACUGCUCUGGGUGGGACUUUUCCCCUUCCUUAGCACUGCAAAAGUUUAUGACUUUCAUGUCACAAUCUAACCUUUUUGGGGAUGAGUGCCCUGGGUGAGCAUUGCUAACGCUGGUCUGGUGCUGCAAGAAAUCAGGGUCCCAUCGGUGUCUGCACUGCUGUCUGUGCUGGGUGGGAGCACAGCUGGGAGCUGAGAAAGCUCUGUGCACGUAUGGAUUGUGUCUGUGUUUCCCUUCAUCUGUGUGCUUCUCUAGUUUCCCCCACCUGGCCACGCUAACCACACUGACUUUUCUAUGCCUGGUGCUGUGAGACCGAAACAUGAAGGAAAAAAAAACAUCACAAGAAGUCCCCAGGACAGCCCCUUUGCUGCUCAUGCUGUGUGGGAUGUCUGCAGGAGGAGCAGUGCUGCUGUGGGAUCCAGGUCAUCCCCUAACCGCCUCAUUGAGACAACUUUGUCUCCUGAAGCCUUCACGCACUGUCACAGUCCCACAGCCACAGCGCACAGCACUGCAAGAGGAGCGGGUGAGAGAACUGCUAAGUAAUGCCAGUGCAGUUAUUGCUGCCACUGCCACAAAUCAAUCCUUUGGCACGGAGCAGACACGAGGACUGGGCUGUUUGCUCAACUGCAGCCAGGACGGGAAAUACCACCGCAAAGCUGCCAUUAUAGAAGUGCUCACAGGUGGCUUCUGAAACACCCCUGAGUAGAUUAAAUCAGACUGCAACUUCUGCCCGGUACCAACACAAGUGUAAAUAUACUCAAGGAUCAAAAGGUGAGAGAAUCUGAACUGCUCAUUCUCACAUCUCUUACCUCAAAUAUUUUUAUUCCUGUUGAAACUCAUUAAUGCUCCGGAGCCAAACUGCUUCUCAUCUCCAUUUUCAAACUAACCACACAGCAAGAACAAAGGCGAAGGCGGCUGCAGCUUUUUUAGGGUUUACAGAGAGCCUGAGCUGAACAAGGGCCACACGGGCUCUGCCUCCCCCUCUUCUGCCCUUCCCUCUUGGGUUUGUAUAGGGAUGGAGGACAUGUUUGCCCUCAUUGCUAUGCGGACAUUUCGGUUUCUGUCCAUGUUUAAGACACUAAUGCCUAGCAAGUUUUGUGCCAACUGCAUGUAUCACCGUGUUUGACCAAGAAAGCAAAUAAAACCCUUACACCAAGCAGCAUUCUCUGUUCUUGCAGGCCCAUGAGUGAACCUCCAGGUGCAGGGCAGGCUGUGACCAAUGGCUCAGGGCUCACUACACAAACACCUGCUCGUUGCACAGCAGGCCCCAAGCACAGGAGCAAUGCCUUGUAACGCCAUUCUGCCUGCUCAGAGCCAGGCAUUAGGCCUGCAUCAAACUGGUGAUGCUGUGCAUUCUCAGACCCCCCCCUCCCUCCCCCCGACAAGGCUCCUGGCGAUAACAUCCACCCUCACAGCCGGACCACAGCAUGGCACCAUGCAGCUGCUUCAGAGUGCCCCCAGCACUGAGAUUCCUCCUCGGCUGCCAUAUAUUCCUGUGAAUUCUCAAACUUUCCCAACUGAGCUCCCUAGAAACCUAAAACCCUUGGGGGGGGGAGGAAGCUUCGGAGUGCAGCAAAGAGAGGCACAGACAAGCUCAGGUGAUGUUGGCAUCCAAAUCCCACCAGUAGCUUUCAGUCUCAGCCUUCACAACCUGUUCACAGACAAUGUGUAGGCUAACAUACAACUUCAUUCAUGUGGUCAUGCAGACUUUUACUGCUGCAAGCAAUGAAUGCACUUGGACACAAAAAACCAUGACCAGAAAACCAAAGACAGGCAGAAACAAAGCUGUUCCCUUCUUUUCUCAUCAAUGCCACAACCAGCCCUAAGAGAAUUCAACAGAAUUAGCACAAAGAAGCGGCGGAAGAGGAAAAGGAGGGCUGUAAAGGACAACAGUUACCAUCAGCUCAGAGCAAGGAUGAGGAAGCAACAGCUCUGAGAGCCUGGCUAAUGGUAUCUGGGUAUCAGCACAGUGCAGAACAGCCACAGCACUCCAAGGAGCAAAUGCACUGCAGGUAGGGUCUCUCUGCAGAUAGAAAGACUGUAUUGGUCAGAAACUAAGGCAUGAACUGAUGUAAUGUGUUUAGAAACAGGAAAGGGUCAGGAAUGCGCUUGUCCUAAAGAGAGGACACAAAGGCAAGAUGGGAAAUGGAGAAGGUCUGUGCAGGAGGCCCUUGUGUGAAGUCAGCAAAGCCAGUUUCUGAAAAGUUUAAAUGAGAGUACUAGUGUAGUAGUAGUGUAGUACAGUAGUAGUGUAAAAGCAGCUUUUUUUUAAGAAAAAAAAACAAAUAAAAAUCUUAAAGCUUUGAUAGAAAAUACAGAGCCUAAUUUAGGGGAAACAGAUCCAAGCCUGAGGUGAGAUAUGGGGUCCCUCUACAGAGGUUAGCAGCUGUGUGGAUUGUGCAUCAAGCUUUCCCCUUGCCCUGGAAUGCCACAGUUGGGCCUAAUUACUCACUGAGAGUGUUUUUAGCUAACUUUGAGUCUCUACAAAUGGAGAGUAAUGAUAAAUGGUGUACAAUGAAGUUAAACUGCAUUUAGUGACUAAGAAGGAAUCUCUUAGCUUCAAAAAAAAAAAAAAAAAAAAAAAAAAAAAGCCUUGUAUGUCCCAUCAGCAAUGUGAUUAAUGGCCAAGAGUUUUGCAUCUGCAGCAAUAAACACAGGCAUAAAAGAGAUCCAAAACAACAGCCAAAUGCAUUCACAGAUGAAAGGAGCAGGGAAGCCUCUCUGUCCUGGUGGCAGUGGGAGGCAGUGCUACAUCUGUUGCUGCACAGGGAGCUGCACUGUCAGUGACACAUCCUGCAGUACCCAGGCAGAGGCCUCCUGCUCCCAUCUCAGAUGUACGAGCUCAAAAAGCACAAGCUUGCAGUCUUGUGUUUGACCAUCCUUCCGGCUCAGCUGUUUGCCUUGCUCACCACAGCCCCCAUUUAUUUUUUGUGGCUGGCAUCGAAAUCACAGCGGAUAGCAACAAUGAACCCUGUAACACCACAUCUUGGUCUCAUGGCCUUUCCCCAUGCUUUGGGCUUCUCAAGAGUAACUGAAUUUGCCUGACACAAGAUAGAGCUGAUGCAAAAUACACAUUGUGUAAAUUCCCAUCCAAUGUCCCUGGCAAUCACAGCUUUCCUGGAAAUAAAGCUCCUGGAGGCAGCACUUCCAGGGACUGUUGCAAAGAGCUGCAGAAAACCCAGGCAUUUUUGGAAUAUCAUCU
ensembl:lncRNA